AACGAACGCUGGCGGCAGGCCUAACACAUGCAAGUCGAGCGCGCCUUUCGGGGUGAGCGGCGGACGGGUUAGUAACGCGUGGGAAUAUGCCCAAAGGUACGGAAUAGCCUCUGGAAACGGAGAGUAAUACCGUAUGUGCCCUUCGGGGGAAAGAUUUAUCGCCUUUGGAUUAGCCCGCGUUAGAUUAGGUAGUUGGUGGGGUAAUGGCCUACCAAGCCUACGAUCUAUAGCUGGUUUUAGAGGAUGAUCAGCAACACUGGGACUGAGACACGGCCCAGACUCCUACGGGAGGCAGCAGUGGGGAAUCUUGGACAAUGGGGGCAACCCUGAUCCAGCCAUGCCGCGUGAGUGAUGAAGGCCCUAGGGUUGUAAAGCUCUUUCAGCGAGGAGGAUAAUGACGUUACUCGCAGAAGAAGCCCCGGCUAACUUUCGUGCCAGCCGCCGCGGUAAU
rnacentral:rRNA from 1 species